rnacentral:rRNA from 1 species
UACGUAGGGGUCAAGCGUUGUCCGGAAUCAUUGGGCGUAAAGCGCGUGUAGGCGGCCAGGUAAGUCCGUUCUGAAAGCCCGGGGCUCAACCCCGGGAGGCGGAUGGAUACUGCUUGGCUCGAGUCCGGAAGAGGCGAGUGGAAUUCCCGGUGUAGCGGUGAAAUGCGCAGAUAUCGGGAGGAACACCAAUGGCGAAGGCAGCUCGCUGGGACGGUACUGACGCUGAGACGCGAAAGCGUGGGGAGCAAACAGG